rnacentral:tRNA from 1 species
AGAAGCGAUAUAUUGCAAUCAGUUUCGACCUGAUAUAAGGGCAUCCCCUCUU